rnacentral:rRNA from 1 species
AGCAGCCGCGGUAAUUCCAGCUCCAAUAGCGUAUAUUAAAGUUGCUGCAGUUAAAAAGCUCGUAGUUGAAUUUCGGGACCAUCAUGUCGGUCGUGCCUCGGUACGUACUGGCAUUAUUGGUUUCUCCCUUCUGACGAACCAUGAUGUCAUUUAUUUGGUGUUGUGGGGAAUCAGGACUGUUACUUUGAAAAAUUAGAGUGUUUAAAGCAGGCUCACGCUUGAAUACAUUAGCAUGGAAUAAUGAAAUAGGACGUUUGAUUCUAUUUUGUUGGUUUCUAGGAUCGACGUAAUGAUUAAUAGGGAUAGUUGGGGGCAUUAGUAUUCAAUUGUCAGAGGUGAAAUUCUUGGAUUUAUUGAAGACUAACUACUGCGAAAGCAUUUGCCAAGGAUGUUUUCAUUAAUCAAGAACGAAAGUUAGGGGA